UACUCCUUCUGAGCAAAACCAAUGCGAGCUUUAGAAUAUGCUUAUCAAGUUACAUAUUAAUCACCUCGGGGCUGAAUUCGAGAUCAUUCAGUUUCUCUUGAACUCUGACCACGUGUAGAAACAGAUCUAUUAAGAUGCAUGGGGCGAGUGAGAGUUUCAAGAGAGAAGCUCCCUUUUGUUCUGAGGGAAUUCAUGAAAAAAAAAGAAAGAAAAGCUCUCGGUGUGUGUAAAGACUGUGAAUUUAGAGUCCGACGGAGCCAAGACCACCCCGGCAUUCAACGAGCCGGGCUAAAGAGCGCAGGAUGGAGUGAAAAGAGCAGGAGAGACAGAGGGAGCUUAACAUUCGUGUCUCCAGGUCACUAAAGUGGCCAGCUUUAGCAGGAGAGAUAACAGGAUUACUGCAAUCAUGGCCAAAGUUUUCUAUGACUUCAACCCCCUUUCAUUUCCUUCCCCACCCCCCACCCCCUGUCCUACUGGCACAAACCGGAGCUGGAGCUGUGAUGGACUUGGGCCGGGCUCCACUGGGAAACAAGAGACACUCGUACAGCUAAUCUCCUCAGCCUGGUGCUGACAGAAAGAGCCAUCCACAGACCGCGAUGGUGUGCCCUACCUUUGUGCGAGCGGGUCAGCCAUUACAGCCAGCCCAAGUGGAUUCUAGUGGAAGAGCCACUUGUGGCUGUGGGUGGUGACAGUGGAGGAGAGAGGAGCAGCUUUUGAGAGCGACUGAGAGAAACAUAAUCACACAUCAAAACACUCAGGUUGGUACAUUAACUGACCUUAAAGACGUCUUGAGUGUCGUCCAUGCAGUACACCCUGAUGUUGUACUCCAGCGUGGAGCAGUAGGCGUCGGAGAAAAGGACC